rnacentral:piRNA from 1 species
UAAAUAACAGUUUAGAAUUUU